GGCCUCUAUGUCACAAAAAAUUUAUUUAUACUUUAUUUCAAAUAUAUGUAACACAGAUAUCUACCAUUUCAUCUCUUAUAUUAUAUUCAAAAGCUACUGAUUAAUAUUUUUCCAAGAACCUUUUUUCUCAUCGUGUGUUGGUCUCAAACCACAUAAACAUAAACAUGGUAUUUGGAAAGUCAAGCCGCAAGUCGCCAAGUAGAGGUCUGAACAGCUUUGCCAUCCGUAAAUUCAGGGGGAUUAGUUCCAUUUAUAAAUGGACACAAGGCAUCAGCCAGGCAUUUGCAUAUUUGUUCUUCGCACCUGGAAAUAACAACUGAUGGUCAUAUAAGCUGCAAGCUACAAAGAGGUUGGUCAUAAAAAGAUGGAGAGAUUGCAUAGAUGGAAAAGACUUUUUUCAGGAUUUCGUCGCAGGAGAUUCCACACAAAUAUUGUGUUUCAAAGACAAGUGCCAUUAUCAAAUCCAUCUUGGCAUCCACCCCUUUUUUUCUUGAAUAAUAUAGCUGAUACUGUGAUGAGGCAACCAAGGUGUUUGCAGAAUGUAGACUGUACACAGCUUUUGACAGGAGGCAGCACACAUUAUGAGAAUUUUUCUUCAACCUGUUGGCUGGAAGACCAUCUUCAUCACUUUGGAGAGGCAUCUUCUUUCAGGGAGAUUAUUCUUGCUCCAGAAUAUUCCUCACAUUACUGUGCUGCUGAACAUGAAGACUGUAAUCCACCACCCUACGAUGAUGAGCCACCACCCAGCUAUGAAGAAGCCAUUGCUGUAGCACAACAUUGUGAUACAGAUAACCUCCAUUCUGAAAAUCUGUGGUUCUAAGGAAAUACUGGGGUAUCUUUUUUCCUUUUUCACUGUGUUAUUCUAAUACUCGACAGAAAUACUUAAGGUUUACCAUGCAAGUAAACCACACAGUAAGCAAAGUUAAAACCUAAUUUGAAUGUACCGAUUUGUGUAAAGAAAUUAUGUCAAAAACAAAUUGUUACAUAAAAAGUUUUCAAAUUUGGAGAGCAAAAACUAUAAUAUUAGCAUAACUUUAUGUUAUACAGUCUCUGUAUUGUGCAAUAAGUCAGAUUUUUAUAUUAUCUGCAUAUUACAAAUGCAUAUUACAUUUGCUUUGUUAAAUUGGUGUUUUGGUGCAUAAUGGGGAAGCAAAGGAAGUGACUAUCCCAUUGAAAGCAAGUUUUCACAUUUGUAUAUGUAUUUAUUGAAGUUUUUAAAAUCUAUCUCAGAAAAAUUAUCUUUUGCAUUUUCUUCCACUUGCUAUACUCGAAGGUGAGUCAAAACAGCAUAUUUUUUUACAGAGCUUGUAGGUAAUCACUAGUUUGAAAAAUGAAUAGUUUCUCAGUGAGCACAGCAAUCUUGAGCCAUAUUUAUCAGUCAUUCAUUGAAAGUAUCAUCUUCUUCCUUUGCUUACUAGUUUGUUUGUCAUAACUCCAAUAGAACAGUAUUGUACAUAUUUGUUCUAAGCUAAUUGGUGUCAUGCAUAGGGACUUUGCUUCUUUUUGUUAUCAGCAAAUUAUCAGAAGAGCUAAUGCAUUUUGUCCGUACUAUAGCAUGCACUAAAGUUGUUUUAUUGGGUUCAAGCAAAUUUUAUGCUAUGCCUGUUAUACAAAAGUAAGAGGCACUUAAAAUCAUUAUACCCUCAGUUCAGGUGAAUUGUUGAUUGUGUAAGCAUGUGGCUGUAAGGUGUUGAAGGUGUACUUUACGAAUGGUUUUAGAUGUAAGAUUGCAUGGUUUUGAGUUUUGCUAUGAUGCACCACUUGCCUUAUCCUUGUCUUGCAACUGGCAGUUGGUUUUUUUCUGUUUUUUAUAACUGGGGGCAUUUCCCAAGCUAUAAUUGCCCAUUGGAAUUAAUAAAGUUGGUCAUUUGUCAUUUGUGUGUGAAAUAAAAUACAGAACUGUAUUUUGUUAAAAGCCUUUAUAAUUGAGGGUGAUUUUGCAGUUAUUGUCUUCCUUUGAAGGUUGAAAUUUGUGUUAACUUUAUAGAAUAUUUCUUGGUCAGUGCCUCUAUUUUUGUCUUCCUUUCUUACUGUUAAUAAUAGAAUUUUUAAUGUGGAGGGGAGCUUGUUGUGCUAAAUGCUGAGCUCAGCUCACUUGCUCUGCAUUUGUCUCUCUUUCUAUUAAUGUUGCCUCUUUCACUCUGCCUGGGUCAGAAGAAAAAAAAUUUACAAAAGUUGGUGGAUCUAUAUGUUUGUGUGUAUAUGUGGACACCUGAAACAUAAGAGCACUUACUUGUUCAGUUAUAUUCAGUACUUUUCAGAUGGUUAGAGAGGUGUGGAGGUAAAAAGAAAGAGAAAGAAUGAGUGCACGUGUGUCUAUAUACAUAAAUUGCUUGAUGAAUUUAAAUUUCAUUUGCAGUACUCCAAUAUUUACUGAUUCAUAUAAUUUUAUAUAAUUUUGUACUAUAAAUUUUAUCUUAUUUUGUUAAAGAGGCAUGCACCAAUUCAAUAUGGGUCAUGUAUAUGUAGUUUUGAUAUGGAUAAGAUAUGUAAUUAAUAAUAAUCCAAUAACAGUGUUAUGAUCUGUAAGCUAGCUAUAUUUCAAUAAAAUUUAUGUCAUUCUUUAUAGUCUUUUUGCAUUAUAAGUUUUGAAAAUAUUAUUUGCUUGCAUUGUAAAUAUAUAAAUCUUCAAUUCCAAGGUGAUUAAGUAAACUUAAGUUUUAAAUACUUUCAUUAAGUACCAAAAUAUGUCCCCGUAAUUUCUUUUGACAGUUCAAACUGUCUGUAAAGAAAAAUCAAGCAGCUUUGCAUUAAAAGUAAUCUUAGGAGGUAUUGAGAUAGAUGAAAAAUGUUAAGAUUACCUUCUUGGCUAUUCUUUUAUGUAGGCCUCAGAUGCUAGUCUCAAAAUAUUUUAAGACACAGGAUUUUUAUUUGUGUACUUUUUCAGAAUGGGUUAAAGAAAACAGCCUAUUGCUUUGUGUGCUUAAUACAUAAACAUCUUAUGGUUAUAAUUACAUCAUUUUUAGUAGAUUUUAUUUCUGUACAAGAAAUAAACAUACUGUACAGUAUAA
rnacentral:lncRNA from 1 species